rnacentral:lncRNA from 1 species
AAGCAAGAACCAGAGGCCUCUCCUUCAGUUCUUCAACCUUCCAUUCAGUACUGGAGGAGAAUAGAGGCUGCUAUCUGACAUGCUUCUUAAUUUACCAUUUGGUUAUUGUCUCUGAUGCACCCACCGUCCAAGCUUUUAUACUAAUCAAUUCCCAGCACUUAGUUUGUAUAUCCGAAGAAAAUUUAAUUCUGCCUAUUUUUGAUCUUAACAUAAAGAGAUAAAAUGGUAUGUACUCUUUCUUUUAUGUCUGGCUUCUAUUUCUCGAAAUUGUUUUUAAGAUUCAUCC